GGAAACAGAUGCUAAUACCGGAUAACNAAACAGAUGAUGCCUAUCAACUGUUUAAAAGAUGGUUCUGCUAUCACUCUUGGGUGGACCUGCGGUGCAUUAGCUAGUUGGUAGGGUAACGGCCUACCAAGGCGAUGAUGCAUAGCCGAGUUGAGAGACUGAUCGGCCACAUUGGGACUGAGACACGGCCCAAACUCCUACGGGAGGCAGCAGGC
rnacentral:rRNA from 1 species